rnacentral:lncRNA from 1 species
GAGAAGAUCAUACAAAUUCUUGCAUUUGAUUUUGGGGAGAAGAUUACACAGAUUGUUUCCUAUCAAGAAGGGGAAUUGCAACAAAUUCUAGCAUUGCAUUUUGGAAAGAAGUUCUUAAAUUGGUUCAUGUCAAUAGGGUGAGUUGCAUUUCAUUGUGGCAUCUCUUCAAAGGGAUCUUGCGAUAUUUGUGCUCUCUUUUGCUCUUUUGCAAGUCAUGUUGAGCUUUUUACCUCUUCUUGAGGAGCUGGCAUUUGGUUUGAGCUUUAGAUCUUCACAUGAUUGGUGCUGAGCCCUUUAUGCCUCUUCUUGAGGUAUCA